GUGAAUCAUCGAAUCUUUGAACGCACCUUGCACCCUUUGGUAUUCCGAAGGGUAUGCCUGUUUGAGUGUCUUGAAACUCUCAAAACUCCUGGUCUUUGUUGAUCUUAGGAAGUUUUGGACUUUGGAUGGUUGCCGGCCUGUCUCAGGUUGGCUCGUCCUAAAUGCAUUAGCUGACCUUGCAACGGUUCGGCCGCCCGGUGUGAUAAGUAUCACUCGCCGAGGCUCAGGACUGUGAAGGGUUGCUUCCAACCGUCCGAUCCCGGACAAUCCUUUUCAAGCGUUUGACCUCAAAUCAGGUAG
rnacentral:misc_RNA from 1 species